UAGGGAAUCUUCCACAAUGGACGCAAGUCUGAUGGAGCAACGCCGCGUGAGUGAAGAAGGUUUUCGGAUCGUAAAGCUCUGUUGUUGGUGAAGAAGGAUAGAGGCAGUAACUGGUCUUUAGUUGACGGUAAUCAACCAGAAAGUCACGGCUAACUACGUGCCAGCAGCCGCGGUAAUACGUAGGUGGCAAGCGUUGUCCGGAUUUAUUGGGCGUAAAGCGAGCGCAGGCGGAAUGAGAAGUCUGAUGUGAAAGCCCACGGCUCAACCGUGGAACUGCAUCUGAAACUGUCAUUCUUGAGUGCAGAAGAGGAGAGUGGAAUUCCAUGUGUAGCGGUGGAAUGCGUAGAUAUAUGGAAGAACACCAGUGGCGAAGGCGGCUCUCUGGUCUGCAACUGACGCUGAGGCUCGAAAGCAUGGGUAGCGAACAGG
rnacentral:rRNA from 1 species